rnacentral:rRNA from 1 species
GAUGAACGCUGGCGGCGUUCCUAAUACAUGCAAGUCGAGCGAACAGACGAGGAGCUUGCUCCUCUGACGUUAGCGGCGGACGGGUGAGUAACACGUGGAUAACCUACCUAUAAGACUGGGAUAACUUCGGGAAACCGGAGCUAAUACCGGAUAAUAUAUUGAACCGCAUGGUUCAAUAGUGAAAGACGGUUUUGCUGUCACUUAUAGAUGGAUCCGCGCCGCAUUAGCUAGUUGGUAAGGUAACGGCUUACCAAGGCAACGAUGCGUAGCCGACCUGAGAGGGUGAUCGGCCACAAUGGAAGUGAGACGCGGUCCAGACUCCUACGGGAGGCAGCAGUAGGGAAUCUUCCGCAAGGGGCGAAAGCCUGACGGAGCAACGCCGCGUGAGUGAUGAAGGUCUUCGGAUCGUAAAACUCUGUUAUUAGGGAAGAACAAAUGUGUAAGUAACUAUGCACGUCUAGACGGUACCUAAUCAGAAAGCCACGGCUAACUACG